AUAUAUAUAGUGUAUGUUGCACUUAAAGUUUUGAUCUUUGCAGCUAUGGUUAAAUUCCAUUUAUAUAUA
rnacentral:tRNA from 1 species